CCGCCGCCGCGCAUCGCCCCUGAGGGGAGCGGGGCUGUCGCCGUCGCCAUCGGGCAGCGCUGCGCUUCCCGCCGCCCCGCAGACCCUCGCUCUCCCCCGCUGAGGCGGGUCAAGGUGCUUCGGGGGACCGGUGUCCCCCCCGCGGCGUCCCGGUGCGCGGCAGGAGCCGCCGCGUCGAGCCGGGCCUGCCCGCUGCAGGCGGGAGCCGGAGGCUGAGGACAUGAGUCUCUACAACUUGGACCGGUUUCGCUUCGAGAGGAAGAGGAAAAAAGCGGAGCAGGAGAGCGAGGCCCCCGCGGCCCAGGGUUCUGCUGCGGCGGGGGAUGCGGCUGGAGGGGAUGAGGAUGAAGCCACAGAUGACAGCAACAGGCCGGAGACACCGGCCUUAGAUGUGACACAGAGAACCGAGUACUCCGCUGUCCCAGAAACUCCUGAAGCCAAGAGGACAAGGAAACAAUCUUAUUUCAAGCCCCGCAGAGGGGUAAAGUUCCUCGAUGGAUCUUCAGACAGCGACAACGAAGAACCGAGAAACUUCUGUGCUGCGAAAGAGAACAGGGCUCCGAGGAGGAACGUGGCUGUAAUCUCUGAACAAUCUGACGAUGAUCAGGAUGAAGACGAACGCCCCCAGUUGGCCUUUGUGAACGGGGGGGAUCAGCCCCCGGCUGUGAAGAAGGGCGCAGAGGAGAACACCAGAGACGCAAAGAUCCAAACGCUGAAGGAGCUUUUUUCACGGAGAAGUGACCAAGAAUUACUACAAUCAACUGAACCAACACGCGCAAGGGAUGAAGCCGUAGCUGCUGGUUUGAAGUUCAGUGAUGAAGCUGCGUCUCGUAAAAGGAAGCUGAAAGGUUCUCCCACAAAGUGCAAAAACGGAAAUGAGCAAGUCGCAAAAAAGCCAAAAUCUAAUUACCUGGAUGAGUCAGAACCCCAAAGACAAUGGGAGAGGCAAGAGAUGCUCGUGAAGAAGCUGCAGAAUACCUUCCCUGAACUGGAUAAGGAGGAGCUGAGAGAUGUACUUCAGGAACAUAACUGGGUGUUUCACGAAGCACUGGAGGCCCUGAGAGUGUUUGCAGAAGACGAUGAGGGCAUGGAGUUUCCUCCCAAAAGCGAAGCUUCCGACUGGACCGAAGCCUCCGCCAACAGCACAAGCGACGAGGGCAAAGAGAAGCCAAAGCAGAACGAGCAGAACGGCUUUCAGAAAAAGGACGAGAGCAAAAAGAGCAUUUGGAGCGCCAAAAGAGAAGCAGAAGGCUCGGAGGAUGAGUCGGCCUCGGACGAUGGUGGCAGCUCCCUCGACGAGGACUACAGCAGCGGCAACGAGGUGAUGGACGACGGCUACCGAGCCAAAAUCCUCAGCUUCCUGCAGGAUGCUUCCCUGAGCGAACUGGCUUUGAUCCCCCAGUGUUCUCAGAAAAAGGCUCAGAAGAUAAUCGCGCUCCGGCCCUUUAACAGCUGGGAGGCUCUGUUUACAAAAAUGACAAAGACUACCGGCUUGUCAGAAGACAUCGUGUGGAACUGCAAGAUCCUGCUCAAGGAGAGGGACGUGGUUCUGAAGCUUAUGAAUAAAUGCGAAGAAAUUUCCAAUAAACUGACGAAACAAGUAACCAGAAUAACUGAGGAUGGAGGAUGUGGAUGGAACAUAGAGCAACCCUCCACUCUGAACCAGAGUUUGGAGCUGAAGCCGUAUCAGAAGAUUGGUUUGAACUGGUUGGCGCUGCUGCAUAAACACGGGUUGAAUGGCAUAUUGGCUGAUGAAAUGGGCUUAGGAAAAACAAUUCAAGCUAUUGCGUUCCUAGCUUAUCUCUACCAAGAGGGCCAUAAGGGUCCCCAUUUGAUAGUUGUGCCGGUUUCAACAUUAGAUAACUGGAUAAGAGAAAUUCACCUGUGGUGUCCUGAGCUCAACAUCCUUAUUUACUAUGGAUCCCAAGAAGAUCGGAAACAUCUCAGGGUGGACAUUCACAACAAAGCCGUGGAUUUCAAUGUGAUUGUAACUACAUACAACUGUGCCAUCAGCAGCUCAGACGACCGGGGGCUGUUUCGCAGGCUGAAGCUGAACUACGCAAUUUUCGACGAAGGCCACAUGCUGAAGAACAUGAGCUCUGUGCGCUACCAGCACCUCAUGACAAUCAAUGCAAAGAACCGCUUGCUGCUGACGGGGACUCCGGUGCAAAAUAACCUGUUGGAGUUGAUGUCCCUUCUGAAUUUCGUCAUGCCGCACAUGUUCAGCAGCAGCACGAGCGAAAUCCGAAGGAUGUUCUCUUCAAAAGCAAAGAGUGCGGAAGAACAAAGCAUAUAUGAAAAGGAGAGGAUCGCACAUGCAAAGCAGAUAAUAAAACCAUUCAUCUUGAGAAGAGUAAAAGAUGAGGUCCUGAAACAACUACCUCCCAAAAAAGACCUCAUCGAAUUAUGUGCCAUGUCUGAGAAGCAGGAGCAGCUCUACUGUGAUCUCUUAAACAAGCUCAAGAAGACUUUCAACAGCAACGAGAAAAACUCUGAUAUGGGAAAUGUGAUGAUGCAACUUAGAAAAAUGGCAAAUCACCCUCUGCUGCAUCGGCAGCAUUACACGAGCGACAAGCUCCGGACAAUGGCCACGCUGAUGCUCAAGGAACCCACCCAUUGUGACGCCAACCCCGACCUUAUCUUGGAAGACAUGACAGUCAUGACGGAUUUUGAGCUGCACCUGCUUUGCAAGCAAUAUCCUCACAUCAGCGACUACAAGUUGGGCAUGGAUCAGAUCUUGGAUUCGGGGAAGUUCAGGGCGCUGGAGCGCAUCCUGUCCGACUUCAAAGAGAAGGGGGACAGAGUUGUGUUGUUCAGCCAGUUUACCAUGAUGCUGGAUAUCUUGGAAGUUUUCCUCAAACAUUGGCAGCAUAGAUACAUUAGAUUGGAUGGAAAAACACAGAUUUCUGAUCGGAUACGUCUCAUAGACCAGUUCAACACAGAUAUGGGUAUAUUUGUAUUCCUCCUGUCAACCAAAGCCGGGGGCUUGGGAAUCAAUCUGACCUCAGCAAACGUCGUCAUUCUUCACGACAUCGACUGCAACCCGUACAACGAUAAGCAAGCAGAAGACCGAUGCCACAGAGUAGGUCAGACAAGGCCUUGCGCUGGCUGGAGAACAUGGAGAAAACAAGUUUUGUGGCAGCACAGCAAAGCGAGAAGGAAGCGGUGUCGCCCUUUUGCCAAGGCAGAGCGUCCUGCCCGUGUGUGCUGAGCCAGAGGAACUGCAAAAACACGGAUUUAUCCUGUUUGGGGUUUAUUUUUCAGAGAAGUAAAAGUGAUAAAGCUGAUCAGUAAGGGGACUAUUGAGGAAUCCAUGCUCAAAAUCAGCCAGCAGAAGCUGAAGUUGGAACAAGACAUGACUGCGGCAGAUUCAGGAGAAGAAGGAACCAUCCCAGCAGAUAUCGCCACACUCCUCAAAGCUUCCUUAGGUCUCUGAAAUGUAACUGCGUUGUGGAAUUGGAGGAAGAAAGGUGACGUUGUACCCCGAGGACUCUUCUCUUACUUGCCACCAUGAGCUUUAUGGACAGUUAUAACUUUUUGUAGUUCCUUUGAUUGUAUUCCUCAUGGCAUUGGAUAUUUUUAACACCGGCAGCAUUCUUUUGAUGCUAAAACACGAACAGCCCGGAUGUGCCAACAUGGGGUGCUGAAAAAAUGCUAUUUUACAGAUCACUUUUCCAAAUGGGGACCUAAGUACUAUUUGUUUUAACAAAUCUGCUACUGCUGGAGAUUUGUCAGUAUUUUUGUAAUUAUUUCUACCUCCAAAUAUAGAUAUAUAUAUAAACCGUCUGUUUCACUGGAUUACUUGUGUAGAUUUUUUUAUAUGUGCCUUAUUUGACAAUGCUUGAGUCCGGUUCGGCUUGUUUUCGGUUCAUUUGAUGUACCGUACCCGUUUUGUAUCAACUUGUUUGAAUAAAAUUCCACAGGUUAACCAAA